ACGAACGCUGGCGGCGUGGAUAAGGCAUGCAAGUCAAACGGGUCUGACGCAAGUCAGACCAGUGGCAAACGGGGUAGUAACACGUGGGUACAUACCUCGGAGACGGGCAUAACCAGCCGAAAGGUUGGAUAAUUCCCGAUAGUCUCGUAAGAGUAAACGAGUAAUCGGCUCCGAGAACGGCCUGCGGGCUAUCAGCUAGUUGGCAGGGUAACGGCCUACCAAGGCGAUGACGGCUAGGGGGGGUGAGAGCCCGAUCCCCACCAAUGGCACUGCGACACGGGCCAUACACCUACGGGUGGCAGCAGCCGAGAAUAUUCGACAAUGGGCGAAAGCCUGAUCGAGCGACGCCGCGUGCAGGAAGAAGCUCUUCGGGGCGUAAACUGCUUUUCUCUGGGAGGAAUUUCGAUGACUGUACCAGAGGAAUAAGGGCCUGCAAACCUCGU
rnacentral:rRNA from 1 species